rnacentral:rRNA from 1 species
GGCUCCGUUGAAUGGUCUGCCUUCUCGGUAUGCACUGUUCUGGCGGGGUUCUCCCUCUUGGCGAGGCGGUAUGCUCUUAACCGGGUGUAUCGCGGAGCUAGGACUUUUACUUUGAAAAAAUUAGAGUGUUUAAAGCAAGCAUUCGCUUGAAUACAUUAGCAUGGAAUAAUAGAAUAGGACUUUGGUUCUAUUUUGUUGGUUUAGGGCCGAAGUA